rnacentral:lncRNA from 10 species
UCAGUGCGCCUGCGCGGCGCGGAUGGGCGAGGCGUGACCGAGGGGCGAGGCGUGACCGAGGGGCGAGGCGUGACCGAGGGGCGAGGCGUGACCGAGGGGCGAGGCGUGACCGAGGGGCGAGGCGUGACCGAGGGGCUCGCCGCGGCUCCUGCGCCUGCGCGGCGGGGAACGGCGACCGGCUGAGGGGACUAGGGGAGCGCGGUGCUUCGGUGGCGGAGGUCACGGUGGCCUCCAUCCUAAAGGGCUGCGGGCGUCCCGGACGGCGGUCCCAAGCGCUGCUCACGCUGCUCUUAAGUGAGCCCUGGACGAGGCGCGGUGGGCCCUCAUAGUCCGCGCCGGCGCCCUCGCUCCACACCGCGGCGUCCGGCCCUGGGCUCCCGCCGAUGUCCGCGUGGGACUUUUAGGGGAUUUGUUUAUUUUUGUACGUUAACCACACUAGAAACGGCCCCAGAAUGGGCUGAAACGUGUGCUGCUGAAGCUGCCACCUAAACUCCCGAGAGAAGCGCCGUUUCUCCUCCAUGGCUUCUCGCCGACGCCCUCGCUGCGGCCUUCCGGGCCCCUCGGUUGAUAAAAGGACUAAAUAGUGACGGACAUUUUUAAGGCUACUUAAGAAAUGGCAAAAAUACAUUUAGAGGUGUGAACCCGAACACACUGCGCGCUUUAAGCCCCGCGAGAGCCGGGGCCGCCCGCUUCUGUGCGCCCGUAGCUCCUUUCUCGGGUCCGGGAUUCGCCGGUGCCGGGGACAGAAACCUCCUGCCUUCUUAGUUCAUGACCCUUGUAGAUGAACUUCCCUGUUUUCUGCACUGCUUAGACCAGAAGACGGGAAACCGUGACUGCCGCACCCUUCCCUGAAGCAGGCACUGCCCGUCGUCCAUCAAACGCGAGGACUGCGCCCACCUCGUAGGAAGGACGCCGCGGUCCUGCUAAAAGCCUCCGCCUCUGCCUGCCCGAGGGCACCCUUCCCCUCCCCGCUUCCGAGGGCGGACUCCAUUCCUCUGGAGCCGGUGUUUCCGGGUGGGCCAGCCUCCAACUGCCUUUGAAUAACCCCCCCUUACAUUAGAUUCUGACCCUGUGGUGAUUUUAGGUUGGGAUUUGGGCGCCUGCAGAUGGCUCCGAAGCCAGCCUCUUGUGAUCCGAGCCACUUCUCUGGCACUCGGAGCGCUGGCACCCGCGGAGCGGCCUUGGUUCACCGGACCGCCUGGGAACCUGGCCGGGGUCUCUGGCAGCCUCCCAGGGCUGAGGUUCAGACUCUGUUCCGCCUACCCAGGUCCACACCUGAUAGGGCUGGAGUUGAGGCUUGGUUUUAAGGCAAGAGUUUCGUUUGUUAUUUCUCCAAAGAGUCAGCUGUUUGCAGGUGUGUGGUUAACACUAUCCUUCGAGGUUAAGGUUUUGUUCGUCUUGCUAAAGUUUGCAACCUUUUUUGUCCUUCAGAUUUGGAGAAGGGGAAAGCAGUUUCUCUUUGAAAAGAAGCAGCGAAUCGUGGCUUAAGCAAAAUUUGUAAUCCUUAAAACUGGCCAGGCUCUGGAGCUGAGUUCAAUUUGACAUGUCUAAACUUUCUUCUUGAGUAACCAGAUUUUCCCUUACAGUCUUUUGUCACUUAAGAGAACUCAUAGGCAAUCGUCCAUCCAAAACAAGUCUUUCUCCUUCAGGGAGGACCCAUCUUUGGAAACUCCAGCUGGUUUCCUGUGCAGUGCUUAUGGUGCCACCUCUCGUUAUAUUUAGAAAAAUGGUCUCACGUAACUUGAGAAAAAACAUUUCAGUGACCAAAGCCGGGUACCAUUGGAACACCAAGGUAAUUUACUUGUUUGCUCAAUUGGAAAACGCUGGCUCUAGGAUAAAACGGAAUCUUUGGGAGAGUUAUUUUUUAUGGUAGUUGGAAGCAUCCAAAAGAAGUUCUAAUAAAGGUAUUUAUGAGAGA